GGAGUCGUAGUUAAGUUGGUUAUAACGCAGGCCUGUCACGCCUGAGGCCGAGGGUUCGAGUCCCUUCGACUCCGCCA
rnacentral:tRNA from 1 species